GGUAGGAUGGCUGAGAGUAAGCGGUGGAUUGUAAUUCCAUAGACAGGGGUUUAAGCCCUCUUCCUAUCA
rnacentral:tRNA from 1 species